rnacentral:rRNA from 1 species
CCCCACUGCUAUCGAGGUGGGACUAAGCCAUGCUAGUCGAACGAACUUUAUGUUAGUGGCACACUGCUCAGUAACACGUAGCUAACCUACCCUUGGGACAAGGACAACUCCGGGAAACUGGGGCUAAUCCCUGAUAGGUGAGAACUCCUGGAAUGGAUUCUCGCUGAAAGGACGUUUAGACCAUGCUUCUAGGCGUCGCCCAAGGAGGGGGCCGCGACCGAUCAGGUUGUUGGUGAGGUAACGGCUCACCAAGCCUUUAACCGGUACGGGCCGUGAGAGCGGAAGCCCGGAGAUGGGCACUGAGACAAGGGCCCAGGCCCUACGGGGCGCAGCAGUCGCGAAAACUCCGCAAUACACGAAAGUGUGACGGGGCUAUCCCGAGUGCCAUCCGCUGAGGAUGGCUUUUCCCCAGUGUAUAAAGCUGGGGGAAUAAGGAGAGGGCAAGCCUGGUGUCAGCCGCCGCGGUAAUACCAGCUCUCCGAGUGGUGGGGAUGUUUAUUGGGCCUAAAGCAUUCGUAGCCUGCUUGGCAAGUCCUCCGUUAAAUCCAACGAUUCAAUCGUUGGGCUGCGGGGGAUACUGUCCGGCUAGGGGGCGGGAGAGGCCGACGGUAUCCCCGGGGUAGGGGUGAAAUCCUAUAAUCCCGGGAGGACCACCAGUGGCGAAGGCUGUCGGCUAGAACGCGCUCGACGGUGAGGGAUGAAAGCUGGGGGAGCGAACCGGAUUAGAUACCCGGGUAGUCCCAGCUGUAAACGAUGCAGGCUAGGUGUUGGCGCGGCUACGUGCCGCUCCAGUGCCGCAGGGAAGCCGUUAAGCCUGCCGCCUGGGAAGUACGGCCGCAAGGCUGAAACUUAAAGGAAUUGGCGGGGGAGCACCACAAGGUGUGAAGCUUGCGGUUU